CGCGCAGGCGGCCUUUUAAGUCUGAUGUGAAAGCCCCCGGCUCAACCGGGGAGGGCCAUUGGAAACUGGAAGGCUUGAGUACAGAAGAGAAGAGUGGAAUUCCACGUGUAGCGGUGAAAUGCGUAGAUAUUAGGAGGAACACCAGUGGCGUAGGCGGCUUGCUGGACGAUAACUGACGCUGAGGCGCGAAAGCGUGGGGAGCAAACAGGAUUAGAUACCCUAGUA
rnacentral:rRNA from 1 species